GAGGAGAAAAGGCCCCAUUUCAGGAACUAGAGGAAUGGAUAGGUUUCGUUCAGAAGAAGCUUUUUAUGUUAAUCCUUUGCCCGACUGUUUAUGUCAGAGACAACAACCAAAUUCACAAACUUCGUCUUUCAUUCGAAGAUAAAAAGUAUAUACAAAUAUGGAAUUAACUGAAAAAAUUUGUGAAUGAAGAAGAAGGCUUUUGGCCUCGUGGUUUCUGAUGUCAAUGGAGGCAUCAAGGAUACAGAGUUUGUAUAUCACGAGAAAAUAUAGACUGUUGCGGAUUGAUUAACUGAGUUAAUUUGCUUCCAAUUAUAAUAUCGGAAGCUAACAUCGGC
rnacentral:misc_RNA from 1 species